CGCUUUGAUUAGUUUUUUAUUUGAUGUUGUCUUAUAAUAAACAUAGAACAACUUCGGCAUUUUAAAUUCUGGCCAACAUUCAAACACCGUGUUAACAAACAUUAACAUUUUGUAAAUAACGAAAUACCCUUUGUUUAAAAAUACCAUUGCACGUUAAUCAUCUUAUUCCAGGGAAGCUCGUAUUCUUUUCAUCCUGUUUGUUUCCAUGUU
rnacentral:lncRNA from 1 species